GUUGAAAUUUUGUCCACAUGAGGUCGUCCUCCUCUCUGGUUUUGCUGAUUCCGACGGCGCCGGCUAGACCUACAGGAUAUCUGUGGCAUUUGUUCUUAUUAGGGUGUCAAUGCUGGCGAUGAAAAGAUUAUUAAUGCUCUUAUUUGGGUGUCAAUGCUGGAAGCUGCUCAUGAGAAAUGUAACUUGAAGAUACUUACGCCACUUCCGGCAAAUCGUUUUCCGAAACUGAAUCAAGUGAGAUCAAUACUAAGUACAAGAAGAAAAGAAUUCCAUCGGUUUCUACAUCAUUACUACUUUUACUGGGUG